UACGAACCGUGCGAACGUUGUUCGGAAUCACUGGGCGUAAAGGGCGCGUAGGCGGCCUGCUAAGUCGGACGUGAAAUCCCUGGGCUCAACCCAGGAACUGCGUCCGAUACUGGUUGGCUUGAAUCCGGGAGAGGGAUGUGGAAUUCCAGGUGUAGCGGUGAAAUGCGUAGAUAUCUGGAGGAACACCGGUGGCGAAGGCGACAUCCUGGACCGGUAUUGACGCUGAGGCGCGAAAGCCAGGGGAGCAAACGGG
rnacentral:rRNA from 1 species